CCUACGGGUGGCAGCAGUAGGGAAUCUUCCACAAUGGGCGAAAGCCUGAUGGAGCAACGCCGCGUGGGUGAAGAAGGUCUUCGGAUCGUAAAACCCUGUUGUUAGAGAAGAAAGUGCGUGAGAGUAACUGUUCACGUUUCGACGGUAUCUAACCAGAAAGCCACGGCUAACUACGUGCCAGCAGCCGCGGUAAUACGUAGGUGGCAAGCGUUAUCCGAAUUUAUUGGGCGUAAAGGGAACGCAGGCGGUCUUUUAAGUCUGAUGUGAAAGCCUUCGGCUUAACGGGAGUAGUGCAUGGGAAGAGGAGAGACUUGAGUGCAGAAGAGGAGAGUGGAACUCCAUUUGGAGCUGU
rnacentral:rRNA from 1 species